UCCAAGACAAGACAAAGCAAGUGCCUUUCUGCCAAACAGAAAAGAAGGAUUUAUGCUGAGAAUGAACUAAUCACAGAGUGAACUAAGUUGGAAAAGAUUUUCAAGAUCAUCAAGUCCAACCUUUCUGCUGGGGAAGUCCCAGAUCUCCUGUCAGGAUCAGAAGUUAGAAGACAUUACAGAAAGGCCCAUGUGAAGGAAAUUGUUGUGUGCAGAUCUGGGGAGGACCUGCUGUAACAGCUCAGAGAUGUCAAAUGUUGUCCCGUG